AGAGAUGCUUUGGUGCUCGGGAACUCUGAGACAGGUGCUGCAUGGCUGUCGUCAGCUCGUGUUGUGAAAUGUUGGGUUAAGUCCCGCAACGAGCGCAACCCUUAUCCUUGUUGCCAGCGGCUCGGCCGGGAACUCAAAGGAGACUGCCGGUGAUAAACCGGAGGAAGGUGGGGAUGACGUCAAGUCAUCAUGGCCCUUACGGCCAGGGCUACACACGUGCUACAAUGGCGCAUACAAAGAGAAGCGACCUCGCGAGAGCAAGCGGACCUCACAAAGUGCGUCGUAGUCCGGAUUGGAGUCUGCAACUCGACUCCAUGAAGUCGGAAUCGCUAGUAAUCGUAGAUCAGAAUGCUACGGUGAAUACGUUCCCGGGCCUUGUACACACCGCCCGUCACACCAUGGGAGUGGGUUGCAAAAGAAGUAGGUAGCUUAACCUUCGGGAGGGCGCUUACCACUUUGUGAUUCAUGACUGGGGUGAAGUCGUAACAAGGUAAGCGUAGCGAG
rnacentral:rRNA from 1 species